rnacentral:lncRNA from 1 species
UCAAGUGCAAAGAUACUGCAAAUUACUUUUCCUAAUUGUGUAGAAAGGAAGUUCAUGAACAUUGUGCCUAUGAAGGGAGAAAAUAAGGAAGGGAGAAAGAAUGGAAGAGCAAAACAUGAGAGCAAUGGAGGUGAUAUUUCCUAGACCUGAUACCUUCAAAAAGUGUUAUACCUAUUGGAGAAGAUUAUUUUAGCAAUCUCUUGCCUAUCUUUGGAGAAUUGUACUUCACUUGUAUUAAUUUUCAUUAUGUUGGGAAAGCAAAAUGUCUGUAUCUGCCUCAACAUCCAUAUUUUAGUUGAAUUUGAAAUUUUAAGACUUUAGAGCAUCAUGCUUGUCUACCCUGGUUCGUUAUUUUGAGCACAUUUUCAUAUGCCAAAGUAUCAAGUAUGGAUAUGGAUGUUUUAGUUUUGCUUGGCAGCUGCUUAAUUGUGAUCUCUCAUUUUCUGGCUGGAAUAAAAUAGUAAGCUGGAUGCAAAAGCCUGAAGGUUUAGGUGUGUCUUAAAUGGGUCAUCUCUGA